rnacentral:misc_RNA from 1 species
GUGAAUCAUCGAAUCUUUGAACGCAAGUUGCGCCCCAAGCCUUCUGGCCGAGGGCACGUCUGCCUGGGUGUCACAAAUCGUCGUCCCUCACCAUCAUCCUUUGCUGAUGCGGGACGGAAGCUGGUCUCCCGUGUGUUACCGCACGCGGUUGGCCUAAAUCCGAGCCAAGGACGCCUGGAGCGUACCGACAUGCGGUGGUGAACUUGAUCCAUUACAUUUUAUCGGUCGCUCUUGUCCGGAAGCUGUAGAUGACCCAAAGUCCAUAUAGCGACCCCAGGUCAGGCGGGAUUACCCGCUGAG